GAACUGAGACGCAAAUUGAUCGUAGUGCAAUUAUCGACAGUCACCAGGUAUAAAAAGGGGCAGAGGCAAAUUCGUCGCCACCCGCUUUUAAUUGUGAUCUAAACAAACAUCAGCAACAACUCAAACACAAACCCAACCAUGAAAUUCAUCGUUGCUCUUCUUUUCGCCAUGGUAGCCAUCAGCGCCGUCUUUGCCCAGCAAGGCACCGAGCAAGCCCGAGACAAACGGGCCAUCCUUUACGGAGGAUACCCUUACGCAUACGCCCCAGCAGCUUACGGAGCUUACGGCUACGGUUACGCUCCGGCAGCAUAUGGAAGCUACUACUGGUGAAAACUUCAAAUACACUAGAUUGUCCCUCUUAUGAUGAUCUACUUGCUCUCCCCGUUUAAUUUUCUCCACAUUGUUAAAUCAGUGAAUAUUUUUGACAAUUACACAUUCUCAUGACAGCAAUAA